GCGAUGCAUUAGCUAGUUGGUAAGGGUAACGGCUUACCAAGGCGAUGAUGCAUAGCCCGAGUUGAGAGACUGAUCGGGCCACAGUUGGGGACUGAGACGACCGGACCCAAAACUCCGUACGGGGAGGCAGCAGGUAGGGAAUCUUCCACAAGUGGACGAAAGUCUGAUGGAGCAACGCCGCGUGAGUGAAGAAGGUUUUCGGAUCGUAAAGCUCUGUUGUUGGUGAAGAAGGAUAGAGGUAGUAACUGGCCUUUAUUUGACGGUAAUCAACCAGAAAGUCACGGCUAACUACGUGCCAGCAGCCGCGGUAAU
rnacentral:rRNA from 1 species